rnacentral:rRNA from 1 species
CCUACGGGUGGCAGCAGUGGGGAAUAUUGGACAAUGGGCGAAAGCCUGAUCCAGCCAUGCCGCGUGUGUGAAGAAGGCCUUCGGGUUGUAAAGCACUUUCAGUGGGGAAGAAAGCCUUGGGGCUAAUACCCUCGAGGAAGGACAUCACCCACAGAAGAAGCACCGGCUAACUCCGUGCCAGCAGCCGCUGUAAUACGGAGGGUGCGAGCGUUAAUCGGAAUUACUGGGCGUAAAGCGCGCGUAGGCGGUCUGAUAAGCCGGUUGUGAAAGCCCCGGGCUCAACCUGGGAACGGCAUCCGGAACUGUCAGGCUAGAGGGCAGGAGAGGAAGGUAGAAUUCCCGGUGUAGCGGUGAAAUGCGUAGAGAACGGGAGGAAUACCAGUGGCGAAGGCGGCCUUCUGGACUGACACUGACGCUGAGGUGCGAAAGCGUUGGUAGCAAACAGGAUUAGAUACCCGUGUAGUC